rnacentral:rRNA from 1 species
GUCGAGCGAACAGAGAAGGAGCUUGCUCCUUUGACGUUAGCGGCGGACGGGUGAGUAACACGUGGGCAACCUACCCUAUAGUUUGGGAUAACUCCGGGAAACCGGGGCUAAUACCGAAUAAUCUAUUGUCCCUCAUGGGACAAUACUGAAAGACGGUUUCGGCUGUCGCUAUAGGAUGGGCCCGCGGCGCAUUAGCUAGUUGGUGAGGUAACGGCUCACCAAGGCAACGAUGCGUAGCCGACCUGAGAGGGUGAUCGGCCACACUGGGACUGAGACACGGCCCAGACUCCUACGGGAGGCAGCAGUAGGGAAUCUUCCACAAUGGGCGAAAGCCUGAUGGAGCAACGCCGCGUGAGUGAAGAAGGAUUUCGGUUCGUAAAACUCUGUUGUAAGGGAAGAACAAGUACAGUAGUAACUGGCUGUACCUUGACGGUACCUUAUUAGAAAGCCACGGCUAACUACGUGCCAGCAGCCGCGGUAAUACGUAGGUGGCAAGCGUUGUCCGGAAUUAUUGGGCGUAAAGCGCGCGCAGGUGGUUUCUUAAGUCUGAUGUGAAAGCCCACGGCUCAACCGUGGAGGGUCAUUGGAAACUGGGAGACUUGAGUGCAGAAGAGGAUAGUGGAAUUCCAAGUGUAGCGGUGAAAUGCGUAGAGAUUUGGAGGAACACCAGUGGCGAAGGCGACUAUCUGGUCUGUAACUGACACUGAGGCGCGAAAGCGUGGGGAGCAAA